GAUCCUGGCUCAGAUUGAACGCUGGCGGAAUGCUUUACACAUGCAAGUCGAACGGCAGCACGGGAGCUUGCUCCUGGUGGCGAGUGGCGAACGGGUGAGUAACGCGUCGGAACGUACCGAGUAAUGGGGGAUAACGCAGCGAAAGCUGUGCUAAUACCGCAUAAGCCCUGAGGGGGAAAGCAGGGGAUCGCAAGACCUUGCGCGAAUGGAGCGGCCGAUGUCAGAUUAGCUAGUUGGUGGGGUAAAGGCCUACCAAGGCGACGAUCUGUAGCGGGUCUGAGAGGAUGAUCCGCCACACUGGGACUGAGACACGGCCCAGACUCCUACGGGAGGCAGCAGUGGGGAAUUUUGGACAAUGGGCGCAAGCCUGAUCCAGCCAUGCCGCGUGCGGGACGAAGGCCUUCGGGUUGUAAACCGCUUUCAGCCGGAAAGAAAUCGCCAAGGCUAAUAUCCUUGGUGGAUGACGGUACCGGAAGAAGAAGCACCGGCUAACUACGUG
rnacentral:rRNA from 1 species